UUUAGGACCCUUUCCAAAGGACUGUGCUUUGUGACCCGUGGCUGAGCAGGCAGCUGUGUGUACUCGCCAGGAGAAAAACCAGGCACUUCCCUGGGUCCCCACGGACGGCGGCGACCCGAGGCUGCCUCGUGGGGGUCACAUUCCAGACGUCCCCCAGCCAGUUAGGAACGCUGGGUCAGACACCCCUCGGCACAUGCGUGGGGAUGUUUGCCGUAUUGUGUAACUGCCUGUCCCCUAAGGACACCCACACCCCUCACUUCUCUCUCAUGAGGUGGUGAGAGGUCCUUCGAAAGACUCCCUGAGCAAAUAAACCAGCGCUGGGAGGUGUCCCGCAGGAAGUCAUGCAGAGCCGCUCGGUGCAACGUGAGAGCCUGGAGCGGGAACAGGACAUGAGGGGAAAACACAUGAAAUCCAAACAGCGUUCGUCAUUUCGGUAAUACCAUCGGGCUGAUGGGAAACUCUCAGUUUCGAUCAUUGCGCCAUGGCGAUCCGAGACGUCAACAUUAUGGGGAGAGGCACACGGGCCUCUGGGUUCCUUUUUGCAACUUUUCUUUAAUCUGAAGCUAUUUCACAGUGGAAGAGCUUAAAAAGGAGUUGCGCUAUUGAUGCUAUGACGCACAGCAGCUUUUGGCUUUGAUCUUCUCUCAGCCCUGCUAGGCAGCUGCGGGUCUCACUUUCAUCCCAAGGAAAUGAGUCUCCUGUGACCAGGCAGCCUCCCUAGGAGAUGGUUUAAGAGCAAACCACCCAGCAGAGACAACACUGACAGCAACAGAUCAGCAGCAGCCUCAGUGCACCUGGAAUAAUGAAUUCUGGGUCCCACAGCCUCAGGACAAGGUGGAAUGUUUACUAUGUGCUGACAACUGGUGGUUGUUGGCUCCAAGGCCAACAGAAUCCCCACCUUGGGGUGUGGUCAAGAAGGAAAACAAUUCAGUGCAAAACAGCUCAACUCUGAUACAGCAUGGCAGUGGGCAGCCCUGGGCCAGGCCCCCUCCAUUGGACAGCUCUGCUCUGCUUUGUUCUCUCAGCUCAGCCAGGGAAGCUCAGCCUCAGGUGGAAAAGGAACUAUGCUCUUAGAGCUGGCUGCUAUGAACACAAGUCCCCACCCUGUUCCCUGAUUGGUCUUGGCAUUUGUUACCUACUUAUGCUUCCAGUAGAAUUUUAGAAUCAAUUUUUCAAGUAAAAAAUUCUCUCACUUUAUUGAAUUGGGUUAAAUUUAACAUUUAGUCCGGAGACUUCACACCUCACUGAGCACACUUCCAGCCUCCUAUCCUGUGUAUAGAUCAUGCAUGUUUCUUGUUAAAGUUGCUGUCAGAUGUUCUGUGCAUUUUCUUCCAAAUGUGGACAGUCUACUAUAACAUUUUACAUGUGUACAUGUUACAUUUGUAUGUUUUGGACAGUCUGAAUCCCUCGCUCAGGGAGCAGCUGGCCUGACAUGCCUACCUGUGACUUAGGGAACAGGUCCUGGAGGACACAGCUGCUGGAGUGGGUGGUGGCCGGGAAGGUGCCUUGCUCCUGCGGGAUGCAGGCUCACAUGAGGAGGUAAAGGACAAUGGGGUGUGGAUACAUCUCAGCCCACUGCCUCUGGCGCACUCUCUACAGUCAGACACGCUGAGCCUGAGUAUCAGUCAGCUAAGGUUGCUGGGUAACAAAGUGCCACACACUGGGGGAUUCACACAACUGACAUUCACUGUCUCACAGUCCAGAGGCUGGAAGUCUGAGACCAGUGUCUGCAGGGUUGGUUUCUCCUGGGUAUGUAGACAGCCGUCUUCCCCAUGUGGUUGUUCUCUGUACAUGUCUGGGUCCAGAUCACUUCUUCUUGCAGGACACAGUCACAAUGGAGUAGGGUCUACCACUUCUGCAAAGGUGGAACUCCACAUACAGCUACGUUCUGAGAUCCUGGGGUUAUGACCCCAACACAUGAAUUGGGGGGCCCAGGUCAGCCUAUAACCUGCUCUAAAGGCUUUUGUGGCUCCCUUGAAUUAUCCACGGGUAAAUAAUAUCAUUUGCAAAUAAUGGUAAUUUCAUUUCUACUCUUCUAAUAUUCUUCUAAGAAAAAUUAUUUUGAAAAAGCCUUGUUAAUAAAGCAAAAUCGUGGCUGUUAUCCCUUCCAUGUCAUACUGGGCAGUGUCUAAUAGGCCCACCUGAGGGUUAUUUAGUUCUUUACAAAGCACAUCUAUG